rnacentral:lncRNA from 1 species
AGCAAGGCAUGCAGCUGCCAUUUUCAGGUGGAUAACAGAUGGCUCAUUCAGAAGGAUUGGGAUUGCAAGGUUCAAGGUAGGAUAGCGUAAGCCUUUGGGUCUCCAGCUGUUUUGGGACUACAACUGCCAUCAUCCCUGACCACUGUUCUUGUUAGCUAGGGAUGAUGGGAGUUGUAGUCCAAAAAAAGAGGCUGGAGACCCAAGUUUGGGCAACCCUGGCCUACAGCCUGUGGCCCACAAAAUAUUGUUGGGACCUCAACUACCAUCAACCCAACCUCAGACAGCCUGGCCAAUAGCCAAGGAUGAUGGGAGUUGUAGUCCAGCAGCAUCUAGAGUUACACUGGUUUCCUAUCCAUCCCUGAUCUCGUGGGAAAAGUCUGCAGUCUUGCCACAAUGGGACUCUAUUUGUAUUUUGGUCGGAAAUAUACGGAUGAUGUGGUUUGGGUUAGUGGGCAGUCAGCUCCCUGUUGAAAAGUUAGUUCUAACAGUAGUACUGAAAUUACGUUGUGGGCUCUGUUCUUUCCCCUUUCAUUUGUUCUGCCUUCUUCUUCCCACCCGCCCCUCUGCCACCACAGCAGUAAGGGUGAGCACCGCCUGCCACCAGGCCAUUGUUUCAUCUCAUUCCACCUUCGGGGAAGCCUUGAACUAUUUCCUCUUUCUUGGUUCAGAGAGGUUCGCUAUAAAACCUAAAACUCGUCGCCCAGCAGAAGAAAGAUGUGGCUGUCAAGGCACUUUGAAGCCAGGAGGUGAGAAUUUAACAGUGCCUACAAACUGUGGAGAUUGGCCGUUUAGAAACAGAUCAAAAGAGAUGGAUGACAGACAGAUGAUUUAACUACUCCAUCUACUGGCAAAUGGCUAAAUGGAGCCUGCACAGAUACAGCGAGGGUGGUUGCUUGCUGCUUGCAGGGCCCAUUGACUGAAGACACUCUUAGAACUCCACAGUGUCCUCAGAGCCACCCUCUUCCCUUCUCCUCCCCGCAAUGGACUGAUUGUUCAUGUUUUGACGUGUUCCAUUUAGGCAGCACAAGUUAAAGCUGAGCUGUGAAUAAUGGAUGGGCCAAAUAACCCAGGGGAACAGCACAUUUUCCCAGUUACCUUGUAUACAAAUCUGAACCCUGUUUGACUCCAUCUGCAAUGAAGCUACGUAGCUUCUUCAAACUUCAUUCUCUUCCUUAUUCUCAAUUUAGCUUCUCUGGAGAUGAGAGCUCCGUUUACAAGAAUAACACAGAGGUCCAAAAUCAAUAUGGUUGCACUUUCAAGUCUCCCAGUAGCUUUGCCCCAGUAGCUAUGUGCUGGUCAACUUGGCCUCUCACUUGGUGCAGCUGCCACUGUUGCUGUGUUGUGCUUGGGCCUGUUUUUUUUAAUAAUAAUAAUAAUAAUACCUUUAUUGUCACUGUACAACCUGUGUACAAUGAAAUUAAACGAGCCUCCCCCUCCCCAAAAAAACCCACUCAAUGUCUUAUCGAACAACACACCACCUCGCAAGUCAAUUUCGCUAUGUUAUUUUUCGUUCAACAGCCUAACAGCCCACGGAUAGAAGCUAUUUUUUAGCCUGUUGGUACGGCUGAUUCUACUUCUAUAUCUCCUGCCCGAGAGUAUGGAGUUUUGAGUAUGGAGUUUUGCUAUUACAAAAUCUGAGAGCUUUUGCUAUUGAAGGACUGGACUGACCAACUGCAGGCCCACUUGACUGACCAACUGAUUCCCCCCCCCCCCCCAUUUCUGUUAUAUUUCCCAAACUACCAGUGACGACCACAGGUCUUUUUUUCCUGAAACAGAAUUAGCCAAACACUUCACCCUUAUUGCUGAAAUAGUGGGCCUUUACAUAGUGGAAUAAUUUAUUUUACAGGAAAUGAAUGAGCCAUAUUUAGAGGAGUCCACUUCCUGUUGCUCUGUAUGAGUAAUUGAUCUAGAUAUGUUUCUCGAUUGGGAGGAGGCCAGCUCAGAGUAGUAACCCAUUCAACAUACCUUGCCAAAAGUUGGCCAUACAUCUGCAUCAGGAGUGGCUGAACGAUCCAUCUGCACCCAUGCAGAGAGACAGAAUGAAUCUGUCUCCCCAAAGAGCCGGACUGGAAGGAAGAAAAUCGAGAGCAGUAUAUCUUGCAGAGAUGCAGUGGCAACCUCCUUUGUGGGUGAGCAUUUGGGGCUCGCUGUAUUUCUUUUCCAUGGCACCCUAAAUACUCUCUUACGGCACCACAACAUACGCCGUCACACAGUUUGGGAACGAAUGCUUUGCAUUCAAAAUGCUCAGACUGGGGGCUGUGAUCCAGAAACAACAUGCAUACCUGCCUUGAAGUUUUUUCAAAGAGCAGCAACAAAAAUGAAAUCCCAUCAGGAUCAAUUCACACUUGUUUAUAAGAGAUUCAAGGAAAGUCUAUAAACCUUUGACUUCUGGCUCCGUGGUCAUUGUUUAGGGAAACUAUAUGUCAAAAAUCCUCUCCAAGUUGAGUUAUAAAGCCACGUGCAUGGUGAAUACCCUUGGUCUCAAGUGGGGCUAGCCUACUUCUGUAUUCUCAAGGGCUGUUUUAUUCUCUUGACAGAGGUCAUGGAGCCAGAAUUGCUUUGUUUGUUUUGCUGCAUGACUCUGCCUGCCUUGUGACUGCCAGGCUCCAUAAUAAACUCAACACUGUUUAGCAGUACUGGAGCUCUCAGGCAAGGAACUACAUACAGAUGUGUGUAUUUACAUAGAAUCGUAGAAUUGUAGAGUUACAAGGGACUUCAAGAGUCAUCUAGUCCAACCCCCUGCAAUGCAGGAAUCUCAGCUAAGGCAUCCAUGAGAGAUGGCCACCCAAUCUCCAAGGAAGGAGAGUCCACAACCUCCUGAGGGAGACCAUUCCUCUGUUGAACAGCUCUUACUGUUAGAAAGCUUUCCCUGAUGUUUAGUCGGAAUCUCCUUUCUUGUAAUGUGGAGCCAUUGAUUUGACUCCAACCCUCCAGAGCAGGAGAAAACAAGCUUGCUCCAUCUUCCAUGUGACAUAUUUGAAGAUGGCUGUCACAUGCGACAUGCAUGCGGCAUACAGCACUGUCACAUCAAAGUGUGGAAUCCUUCUUUGUGGAAAACAUGUAUUUUCCUUAUCAGUGGUUUGCAAACAUUUGAUCACACCCCAAAUUUAAUUGUUGUACCUAGAAACAUAGGAAGCUGCCUUUACUUAAUUCGACCAUUGGCCCAUCCAGCUAGAACUACCCACUCUGACUGGCAGUGACUGCCUGGAGAUGCCGGGAAUUGAACUCAGGACAUUCUGCAUGCAACAUUGAUGCUCUACCUCUGAGCUUUGGUCCUUCCCAAAGUAAAAACUUGGAGGCACGAUCCAUUCUUCCAGCUGGCAGUUUGCCAUCCAUUAAACAUUUCCCUAGAUCCUGGAUUGUAAGGUAAUUAAAAAAUUUUGGGAAAUGAUAUAUAACAAAUUGAAGAAAAUGUUCCAUUUAACAUUUGUUUAAAAACCUGAAGCAUUUUUAUUAGGGACUGUAGGGAAAGAUCUGCCAAAAAAGCUGAAAACAUCUUCAUGUAUGCGACAACAGCCGCGAGAGUUUUAGUAGCACAAGGAUGGAAGACUGAAGAAACCCCAACUAAAGAAUCAUGGCAAGAAAAAUUGAUGGACUAUGCAGAACUGGCAAAACUGACAUACAAGCUACGGGACAAGGAUAUCUGUGAAUGGGAACCCUUUACAAAGUAUUUGAAGACGCAACAAAGCGAACUGGUUUUGACUCUUUGGCUG